GCCUGGGUAGCUCAGCUGGUAGAGCAUCAGACUUAUAAUCUGGGGAUCUAGGGUUUGAGUCCCUGUCCAGUUGCCA
rnacentral:tRNA from 1 species